rnacentral:rRNA from 1 species
GCCUUACACAUGCAAGUCGAACGGCAGCACGGACUUCGGUCUGGUGGCGAGUGGCGAACGGGUGAGUAAUGUAUCGGAACGUGCCCAGUAGCGGGGGAUAACUACGCGAAAGCGUAGCUAAUACCGCAUACGCCCUACGGGGGAAAGCAGGGGAUCGCAAGACCUUGCACUAUUGGAGCGGCCGAUAUCGGAUUAGCUAGUUGGUGGGGUAACGGCUCACCAAGGCGACGAUCCGUAGCUGGUUUGAGAGGACGACCAGCCACACUGGGACUGAGACACGGCCCAGACUCCUACGGGAGGCAGCAGUGGGGAAUUUUGGACAAUGGGGGAAACCCUGAUCCAGCCAUCCCGCGUGUGCGAUGAAGGCCUUCGGGUUGUAAAGCACUUUUGGCAGGAAAGAAACGUCAUGGGUUAAUACCCCGUGAAACUGACGGUACCUGCAGAAUAAGCACCGGCUAACUACGUGCCAGCAGCCGCGGUAAUACGUAGGGUGCAAGCGUUAAUCGGAAUUACUGGGCGUAAAGCGUGCGCA